AACUUUUUUAGAGGAGAGACAAACAUCUGCAAGGGCUGACCACACGAAGACCCAACCAUGCAAUGACCCAACGAAGAGUGAGCUUAAAGGAUCGACUGCCAGUAGGCCUACCUGCAGAAUUGGAGUAGUUCGCUUGUUCUACAUUCCUGUUUGUAAAUCUUGAAA